rnacentral:other from 1 species
CAACUCCUGUGGUGUACGUGAUGCCUCGAUUGUUUUGAGCCAACACUUUCGUCUAGGGAGCUGGAAUCCAGCGCGGCUGCUGUGACCAACGUCUGGCAGCCACCGGAAGGCACCCACCUGCUUUCGCAGGUUCAAGACGUUUGAGGGCACACGGCACUGCGGGGGUUGC